GUGGGUAUAGCUCAGUGGUAGAGCACAUGCCUGGCACGCACAAGGUCCCGGGGUCAACUCCCAGUACCUCCA
rfam:Camelus ferus unplaced genomic scaffold scaffold1430, whole genome shotgun sequence.